UACAGAGGGGGCAAGCGUUGUUCGGAAUUACUGGGCGUAAAGGGCGCGUAGGCGGCCUCUUAAGUCGAACGUGAAAUCCCCGGGCUCAACCCGGGAACUGCGUCCGAUACUGGGAGGCUUGAAUCCGGGAGAGGGAUGUGGAAUUCCAGGUGUAGCGGUGAAAUGCGUAGAUAUCUGGAGGAACACCGGUGGCGAAGGCGGCAUCCUGGACCGGUAUUGACGCUGAGGCGCGAAAGCGUGGGUAGCAAACAGG
rnacentral:rRNA from 1 species